rnacentral:lncRNA from 10 species
CCUUCUCAACAGGAAUGACCCCAAGUUUAUCAGAAGGCUCCUGUGGCUCCAGGGUCAACUCUGGGCAUAUCUGACUACAUCACUCCACCCCUACCAUGGUCUCUCCUCUGUACCCCAGCGUUCCAGGGUACUGUCUUCUGAGAGCGCACUUGUCUGCCAACCCCAGUAGCCAGGACUCAGCAUACCUGGCAAACACCUUCAAAACUAGCAAAUCAUGCUGGCUAUCUGCCCCAGGACAUCAUCAAGAAAGUGAACAGACAACACACACACAGAAUGAGAGAAAAUAUUUGCAAAUCAUUGGUAAAGGACUGGAAUUGGUAUGUCAAAUAUGUGAACAAGUCUUACAACUCAAUAAUAGAAUGACAACCCAACUUUAAAAUGGGCAAAGGAUGUGAAUAGAUAUUUCUCCAAAGAAGAUAUACAAAUGAUCAAUAAACAUGGGAAAAGACAGCCAACAUCAUUCAUUGUUAGGAAAAUGAAAAUCAAAACCACAAUGAGAUACCACUUUGUACCCACUAAUAUGGCUAUAAUAAAAAGGACAGAUAAUAAGCGUUGCUGAGGAUGUGGAGAAAUUGGAAACCUCAUCCACUGCUUGGGGAAAUGGAAAAUGGUGCACCCACUUUGGAAAGCAGCUGGCUGUUCUUCAAAACAUUAAACUGAGUUACCAUCCAACCCAGCAAUUCCACUGCUAGUUAUCUACCUGAGAGAAAUGAAAACAUGUCCUCAUAACAACUUUCACAGGAAUGUUCAUAGUAGCAUUAUGCAUAAUAGCAAAGAAGUGGAAACAACUCAUAUGUCCAUAAACUGCUGGAUAAACAAAAGGUGGUAUAUCCAUUCUGUGAAAUAUUAUUUGGUAAUAAAAAGAAAUGAAGUACUGAUGCAUGCAUGGAUGAACCUUGAAAAUAUUUUGCUAAGAAGCCAGUCACAAAAGACCACAUAUUGUAUGUUUCCAUUUAUAUGAAAUAAAACAGACACAUCCAUGGACAGAAAGUAGGUUAGUAGUUGCCUAGGGCUGAGGAGUGAAUGGAUUGUGGGGAGGUGUUGAGAGGUGAAAGCUAAGGGUGUAGGGUUUCUUUUCGUGGUAAUGACAGUGUUCUAAAAUUGAUUGUGGCCAUGGAUGCACAACUCUGUGACUAUACCAAAAACUUAACUCUUACAAUUAUAAAUAAAUUGUAUGGUAUGGGAAUUAUAUUUCAAUGAAAUUGUUAUUAAAAACAACUCUUUGCCCAGCGGACACCCAAACCUUUCCCCAGCGGACACCCAAACCUUUCCCCAAGAUGGCUGUAAAUUAUCUUGGGGUGGGAAUGGGGAGGUCCUCCUUUGGUCCUAGCUCUUGAUCCAAUAAUUCUGACGUCAUCUACAACACGUUUACCUAGAAAUGAAACUCAGCUCUUUGCUGAAGUUCUAUCCUCCCAAACCACCCUUCUUUCCCUUCCUAGGAAGCAUUCAUGAUUUCACUGUAGAUGGGGCAGGG